ACUUCUCGACAUUGAUUUUUAAUGAAAAUUGCAACAACAUAAACCUUACUACAUUGCAGAAGCAUCAUACAUGUGUUCAUUUAUUGUAUUUUUGAAAGAAGGUCAAAAUGUCUACCUAUGAGGGGGAAUGGGUGAAGAAGGAACCAGGAUGAGCCAGACACUGUUUGAUACCCUUGGUAUCCCAUUUAAUCCUUACAACAAUGCUGAGAGGAGGAAGAUGGAUUCCUGGAGGAUUGAGGCCAACUCUACACCAAGAGAAUUUUACACUUGUCUGUCUCUUGUUAUCAUUAGCCGCUAAAAAAGUCAGCUUUUGAAGCUUUUUUUUUUUUUUUUGCUGAGGAAGAUUGGCCCUGGGCUAACAUCUGUGCCCAUCUUCAUCUAUUUCAUAUGGGACACCGCCACAGCAUGGCUUGACAAGCAGUGGGUCAGUGCAUGCCCGGGAUCCGAACCAGCGAACCUCAGGCCGCCACAGCGGAAUGCGCGCACUUAACUACUACGCCAUUGGGUGGGCCCCUGAAGCAUUUUUAUGAUCGUUUUCUGAUUUCUUCCCUCUCUGUUCCUAUCCAUAUUUGAAACUGUUGUUUGGGAAAGAAGAAAUCUGAGCAGUGGCCACAGCACAGUCACUCUGCUCGAUUCAGGUUUUCAGAGGUUUAGAGAUAGUGUCUGCAAUCCAUCUGUGACUCGGGAGAGUUCUGACAAUGGCUUAACUCUGGGUGAAGAAAAAAAAUAUGUUUGCCCCAAACAAGCUAUCUCUGAUUCUUCAAAUUACACAGAAUAGUGCAAAUUCAUAAGAUAAGAACUUCUGUGGCAAAUUCUUGUUUCGUACUAGGUUACACAUUUACUGUGGAUAGUCACGAUGUACCUAAAUUACACCCAUAGUGUGUUCAGUCAAAGAGUUAAA